UACGUAGGGGGCGAGCGUUAUCCGGAUUUACUGGGCGUAAAGCGCACGUAGGCGGUUCGUUAUGUCGGAUGUGAAAGCCCUUGGCUUAACCGAGGAAGUGCAUCCGAAACUGGCGAGCUAGAGUACUAAAGAGGAUCGCGGAAUUCCCGGUGUAGAGGUGAAAUUCGUAGAUAUCGGGAGGAACACCGGUGGCGAAGGCGGCGAUCUGGGUAGAUACUGACGCUGAGGUGCGAAAGCGUGGGGAGCAAACAGG
rnacentral:rRNA from 1 species